GCCUGGGUGGCUCAGUCGGUUGAGCGCCCGACUUCAGGUCGUGAUCUCGCGGUUUUGUGGGUUCGAGUCCCGCGUCGGGCU
rnacentral:tRNA from 1 species